AAUAAGUAAAAAAUAAUUAUCAAAUUAGAAAAUUCCCCUUCUUCUCCCUCUCACGGCCGCAACCACCCCCCUCCCACGAUAACUCUCUCUCCCUCCUCUACUUUCAUCACCUUCUCGUAAACCAGCCCACUGCGACUAAUUUACACCACUUCCAGUUCCUCUGGCCAUCGCUCAGUGUUCGUCAUCACUGCGCCGCCCUCCAACGAACGACCGACCGCGAGGAUCGUUCAGUUUCGACUUUUGUGUGCACCCGUCGUUGUUGAUCUCUCCAUCUCUAUCCAAUCUCUUCUCUUUCAGACUAGUCAUGUGGUUCUGUCUUACUGCACCCAAUCUCAGACCUAUCGUCAGUGUUUUAGGUAAGUUUUUGGUGUCUUGUAUGGGUUUUUUUUGGCAAAUCUUAAAUACCCACUGGUCCGCGCCAGGAUGCCCACCGAUCAGCCACCGUACAGCGCCCACCGGUUAGUCUCCCCCAUCGGAUCAGUGCCAAUCGCCCAGCCCAGCCUCGCACCAAAUCUGGUCAGUCCUCGCGCCAGAUUCGAUCAAUCCUCUACCAGAUCCGGUCAGUCCUCCACCGAAUUCGUCGUACAGUUGUGCUGCCCUUGUCAAGUAAGAGCUUCUUAUAGUUUUAUGAGUAUUCUUGUUCCUCUUUUGUUUUUCUUUUCAGGCAAGUUGGUCGAGGCUCAAGUGAAGCGCCGAUUUGAGCAAACACUUUGGACAAGUGUUUUGGAUGUAUUAGAAUGAUUUUGUGAUUUGGGUUAUAAUGUAGCAUCUUCUGUAAUGAUUUGCUUGUUUGAAUGUAUGAUGAUGAGAUUGCUUUUGAAGUAUUGGAAAGAGUUGAGUUGCUGUCAAUAGGUUUGAGACCGAUCUUGACAAGGUUUUGGUAAGUUUGGAGAUUUCAAGGGAUUGGAGCCACUAUCCAGAAAGUUAACGAUGUUUGGACAUUUUGAUAGAUAAGAUAAGUUGUGAAAGUUGUGAAAGUUGCGCAAAAGUGAAAGGUAAUUGUUCCACCGAGGCUAGAUAUGGUUAAAAGAGAAUGAAUAAAAUCUUAGUUGACUUGUUUAAACAUGGCUUGCUUGGCUCUUAGUUCUCAAUCUUUAAACUUCAAAGCUCAAUGUAUAGAUUAAAUAAUGUAAUUUGUUUAGAGGUUACUUAUUAAACAAUUUGUCACUUUUGUGUUUGUUGAAAGUUGAGUUUUAUAUACAAAAGCAAUAGUUGAGAUUUUAUUUUGUGCAUGUACAAGUGAAAGAGAAAUAUUGUUGUAAUUUGUGAGGAGUGUUCUAUGAAAGGUCAUAGUUGAAAAUAUGGAAUUUUUAGUGAAUAUAUUGAGUUGAUAGAUUUUAAAUA